CCUACGGGAGGCAGCAGUGGGGAAUAUUGGACAAUGGGGGCAACCCUGAUCCAGCCAUGCCGCGUGUGUGAAGAAGGCCCUCGGGUUGUAAAGCACUUUCUGUGAGGAAGAACGCCUGGUGGUUAAUACCCAUCAGGAAAGACAUCACUCACAGAAGAAGCACCGGCUAACUCCGUGCCAGCAGCCGCGGUAAUACGGAGGGUGCGAGCGUUAAUCGGAAUUACUGGGCGUAAAGCGCGCGUAGGUGGCUUGAUAAGCCGGUUGUGAAAGCCCCGGGCUCAACCUGGGAACGGCAUCCGGAACUGUCAAGCUAGAGUGCAGGAGAGGAAGGUAGAAUUCCCGGUGUAGCGGUGAAAUGCGUAGAGAUCGGGAGGAAUACCAGUGGCGAAGGCGGCCUUCUGGACUGACACUGACACUGAGGUGCGAAAGCGUGGGUAGCAAACAGGAUUAGAUACCCUAGUAGUC
rnacentral:rRNA from 1 species